rnacentral:snRNA from 1 species
GGAUGUGAGGGCGAUCUGGCUGCAACAUCUGCCACCUCAUUGACCUCCAGGGUUGAUUUGGCUGCUUUGGCUGGCUAGGUGGGUGUCCCACUUCCUCCCUCACCAUUCCAUGUGCAUCCCUCUCAAAAUGCAUGCUUGGUGGAAGAGGAUGACCAUCCCAGAUAGAAGAUUUUUUAAAGCAUUGUCUGAAUUCACCAUCCCAUUGCAAAGCUGAUUAUUU